UACAGAGGGGCUAGCGUUAUUCGGAAUUACUGGGCUUAAAGGGUGCGUAGGCGGUGCGGAAAGUUGGGUGUGAAAUCCCUCGGCUCAACCGAGGAACUGCGCUCAAAACUGCCGUACUCGAGGAAGAUAGAGGUGAGCGGAACUUACGGUGGAGCGGUGAAAUGCGUUGAUAUCGUAAGGAACACCCGUGGCGAAAGCGGCUCACUGGGUCUUAUCUGACGCUGAUGCACGAAAGCUAGGGGAGCAAACGGG
rnacentral:rRNA from 1 species